GACGUAGGGCGCGAGCGUUGUCCGGAUUUAUUGGGCGUAAAGAGCUCGUAGGCGGCUUGUCGCGUCGUCCGUGAAAACUUGGGGCUCAACCCCAAGCCUGCGGUCGAUACGGGCAGGCUAGAGUUCGGUAGGGGAGACUGGAAUUCCUGGUGUAGCGGUGAAAUGCGCAGAUAUCAGGAGGAAUACCGAUGGCGAAGGCAGGUCUCUGGGCUGACACUGACGCUCAUGCACGAAAGCGUGGGGAGCAAACAGG
rnacentral:rRNA from 1 species